rnacentral:rRNA from 1 species
UACGUAGGGUGCGAGCGUUGUCCGGAAUUAUUGGGCGUAAAGAGCUCGUAGGCGGUUUGUCGCGUCGGCCGUGAAAUCUCCACGCUUAACGUGGAGCGUGCGGUCGAUACGGGCAGAUUUGAGUUCGGUAGGGGAGACUGGAAUUCCUGGUGUAGCGGUGAAAUGCGCAGAUAUCAGGAGGAACACCGGUGGCGAAGGCGGGUCUCUGGGCCGAUACUGACGCUGAGGAGCGAAAGCGUGGGGAGCGAACAGG